UAAAUAGAUCCUAAGUACAUUCUAGAUAAAUCCUAAUCAAACCUUAAUAUAGUCCUAAUGAAAUCCUAAAAAAAUAUUUACAAAAUCCUAAAUAAAUCUUAAUUAAAUCCUAACCAAAAUCCUAAUUAAUUUUAAAUCAAUCAUAACCAAAAUCUAACCAAAUUCUAAUCAAAUUGCAACCAAAUCCUAAUUAAAUCCUAAUAAAAUCUUAAUCAAAUUCUAGUCAAAUUCUAA
rnacentral:lncRNA from 1 species